rnacentral:lncRNA from 1 species
AACCAGGGGAAAGCUUGCAGGCCUGGCAGAGCUGGCAUAGGAUUGGACAGGCCUGUUACCUUCUCUGGUGUGCAAACUGCCGCUCACGAAAUAGCGCAUUUGUUGAAUGCUCCUCACGACGGCUACGGAGAAGCGAGGAAUUGCCCACCGACAGACGGAUAUUUGAUGAGUAGCCCCCGCAGAAGCGGAAAUAACAGUUGUGCGUUUUCCAGCUGUACCAAGAAGAUUAUUGCUGACUUUCUACAGUGGCCUUACUCAAAGUGCCUAAUGAAAAAUACGGCAUGCCACGUUAUUUCUCUGCCAAAGAAGGCGGCAAAUCUUCCAGGGGAUACAAUGGAUGGACCCACGUUCUGCAAGGAAUACUACCGAAAACCGAGAUACGCGAACUCUACUUACCUUAAGCUGGAUUCCGACCUCAAGCAGUGCGUGUUCCGCUGUUUGGUAGAGUACACCAACCCUAAGGGGAAAAUGGAGAACCGCACGUCAUUUGCAUUAGACGGCACACCCUGCUCUGAAUCUGAGCCA